GCCCAGGUGGUGGAACCGGCAGACACGCUGUCUUGAGGGGGCAGUGCCUUUUAUAGGCGUGUGAGUUCAAAUCUCACCCUGGGCACCA
rnacentral:tRNA from 1 species